CCUAGAAGACGUGGAAAGGGGUCAGAGGAAAUUCAGAAUGUACCAUGAGGUGAAGAACCGUGUCCCCUUGGGAGAUGAAGACCUGCAAAAACAGAAAGUUCGGGUAAUUUAUCCAAGAUGAAGCAAUUAAAAUAUGAGAGAGACAGAAUUCAAAUUCAGUAGGACCACAGAGAGAGGAGAGAGAAGAUCCAGUCAAGACCUCCUGCCCUGCUAUUCCAUAUAUCCCUGCUGAGCUGCUGCUGAUGUGAAGUAAGAACCUAUCAUCAGUGCCUGGCUCGGUAAAACCUUCAGAUGAUUUCUGCCAUAGUCACCAUCUAAGUGCAAUGAGUCAAGGGACCUUCAGGGAGAACCACCACAGUUGAUAUAUAUACUUUUCUUUGGACAUAGUUGAGUGUGCCUCCCAAGAGCUUGUGUGUAGGAAACUCGGUCCCCAGAGUGGUGAUGUAAGAGGUGGUGGAACAUUAAGAGACUGAACCUAGAACAAGAAGCAGAUUUCUUCUACCAUGCUUUUCCAUCAAAAUGUCUCUGCCUUGCCACAGGAGUAACAGCGAUGGAGCCAGCUAACUACACACUGAAUCCUGGGAAGCUGUGAGCCCAAAUACACUCUUCCUCCUUUGGUGGGACUUGCCUACGUAUUUUGUCACAGCAGCAAAAAGCUGACCAA